UUCUUUUGUUCUCAUCUGAUGGAGCUUGUAAACACAGGCCAAAUCGUUGCAACGUUAGUUGUGUCGACAAGCUCCAUCAGAUGAGAACAAAAGAAAUG